GAUCCUAGCUCAGGAUGAACGCUAGCUACAGGCUUAACACAUGCAAGUCGAGGGGCAGCAUGGUCUUAGCUUGCUAAGGCCGAUGGCGACCGGCGCACGGGUGAGUAACGCGUAUCCAACCUGCCUUACACUCUUGGACAGCCUUCUGAAAGGGAGAUUAAUACAAGAUGUUACCAUGAGUAAGCAUUUUCGCAUGAUUAAAGGUUUACCGGUGUAAGAUGGGGAUGCGUUCCAUUAG
rnacentral:rRNA from 1 species